AUUGAACGCUGGCGGCAGGCCUAACACAUGCAAGUCGAGCGAGCGGCGGACGGGUGUGUAAUGUAUGGGGACUCCCCGAUAGAGGGGGAUAACUACUGGAAACGGUAGCUAAUACCCCAUACUCUCGCGUUACCCCUAUGGUAGUAGCUCGUAGGUGAGGUAAUUGCUCACCUAGCCGACGAUCCCUCUCUGGUCUGAGAGGAUGAUCAGCCACACUGGAACGGAGACACGGCCCAGACUCCUACGGAGGCAGCAGUGGGGAAUAUUGCACAAUGGGCGCAAGCCUGAUGCAGCCAUGCCGCGUGUAUGAAGAAGGCCCUAGGGUUGUAAAGUACUUUCAGUCGGGAGGCGUUACCGACAGAAGAAGCACCGGCUAACUCCGUGCCAGCAGCCGCGGUAAUAC
rnacentral:rRNA from 1 species